rnacentral:tmRNA from 1 species
GGGGGUGAUCGGUUUCGACGGUGAUCGUCGAUCCAGGAGAAGCGGGCCGAGGAUGCAGGGUUAUCUCGUCAACGCUCCCUGCAAAACCAAUAGGUGCCGACUCCAAUCGCACCGACUUCGCACUCGCCGCUUAGGCCAGUCUGAAGUCCGUUAGCCCGAGUUUGCUCUCGAUUCGGUAACUAGCGUCAUCUAGAGAGCUUGCUUGCAGCGUUCGUCGUCGGCGCUGCUGGGACUUUUAGGCGACUGGGCCUGUCAGCGGCAUGCUUGCUAGAUUGCUGGGGCCGAGAAAAGCGCAGCAAGCUGCGCCCGGAGAAGUCCUGGUUCACAGUCAUCGGACGCGGGUUCGAUUCCCGCCACCUCCACCC